AAAAAAGAGAGAGAUCAGGAGAUACAGAGAGGCAAAAGAGAAGAUGAGGAUUAUUUGCAGACAGCUUGUCUUCUUGUUUUCUGGCUUUUGCGGACUAGCAAUGGGAGCUUUCCCUAGCAGUGUGCAAAUAGGUGGUCUCUUCAUCAGAAACACAGAUCAGGAAUAUACUGCUUUUCGAUUAGCAAUUUUUCUUCAUAAUACCAGCCCCAACGCCUCUGAAGCACCUUUUAAUUUGGUUCCUCACGUAGACAACAUUGAAACAGCUAACAGCUUCGCUGUAACAAAUGCCUGUUUUGUUACUAGUCGAAGUGUGUUUUGUUCUGUUGCAGUUUGCUCCCAGUACUCUAGAGGAGUUUUUGCCAUUUUUGGACUGUAUGAUAAGAGAUCAGUACAUACCUUGACCUCAUUCUGCAGCGCCUUGCACAUCUCCCUCAUCACGCCAAGUUUCCCCACAGAGGGCGAGAGCCAGUUUGUGCUGCAGCUGCGACCAUCUUUACGGGGAGCUCUUCUAAGUUUGCUGGAUCAUUAUGAAUGGAACCGUUUUGUCUUCCUUUAUGACACAGACAGGGGUUACUCAAUACUUCAAGCUAUUAUGGAAAAAGCGGGACAAAAUAGCUGGCAAGUCAGUGCCAUAUGUGUGGAGAAUUUUAAUGAUGCCAGCUACAGGAGGCUUUUAGAAGACCUGGAUCGAAGACAAGAAAAGAAAUUUGUAAUAGACUGUGAAAUAGAGAGGCUUCAGAAUCUUUUAGAACAGAUUGUGAGUGUUGGAAAGCAUGUUAAAGGCUACCAUUACAUCAUUGCAAACCUGGGAUUCAAAGAUAUUUCUUUGGAGAGGUUUAUGCAUGGAGGAGCCAAUGUAACAGGAUUUCAGUUAGUAGAUUUCAGUACUCCUAUGGUAACUAAACUCAUGCAGCGCUGGAAGAAGCUGGAUCAGAGAGAAUACCCAGGAUCUGAUAGCCCUCCAAAGUACACAUCUGCUCUGACCUAUGAUGGGGUACUUGUGAUGGCUGAAACAUUCCGUAACCUUAGAAGGCAAAAAAUUGAUAUUUCACGGAGAGGGAAUGCUGGUGAUUGUCUUGCUAACCCUGCUGCACCAUGGGGCCAGGGGAUCGAUAUGGAAAGAACACUCAAACAGGUUCGAAUACAAGGACUGACCGGAAAUGUUCAGUUUGACCACUAUGGUCGCAGAGUCAACUACACAAUGGAUGUAUUUGAGCUGAAGAGCACAGGCCCUCGUAAGGUUGGUUACUGGAAUGACAUGGAUAAAUUAGUUUUGAUUCAGCAUGAACCUUCUCUUGGAAAUGAGUCAGCCAUUGAGAACAGAACAGUAGUUGUAACUACAAUUUUGGAAGCCCCAUAUGUUAUGUUCAAGAAAAAUCAUGAUACAUUUGAAGGGAAUGACAAGUAUGAAGGAUACUGUGUAGAUCUGGCAUCAGAAAUUGCAAAACAUAUUGGUAUCAAGUACAAAAUUGCCAUUGUCCCUGAUGGAAAAUAUGGAGCAAGGGAUCCAGAGACAAAAAUCUGGAAUGGGAUGGUGGGAGAACUUGUUUAUGGGAAAGCAGAGAUUGCUGUUGCACCUCUGACCAUCACUUUGGUACGAGAAGAGGUCAUUGAUUUUUCUAAGCCUUUUAUGAGUUUGGGGAUAUCCAUUAUGAUAAAAAAGCCCCAGAAAUCUAAACCAGGAGUGUUUUCCUUCUUGGACCCUUUGGCGUAUGAGAUCUGGAUGUGCAUAGUCUUUGCCUACAUUGGUGUCAGUGUGGUCCUGUUCCUAGUUAGCAGGUUUAGCCCAUAUGAGUGGCACACAGAAGAGCCAGAGGAUGGGAAAGAAGGACCCAGUGAUCAGCCUCCCAAUGAGUUUGGCAUAUUCAACAGCCUCUGGUUUUCCCUGGGUGCCUUUAUGCAACAAGGAUGUGAUAUUUCCCCAAGAUCCCUCUCAGGUCGCAUUGUUGGAGGUGUUUGGUGGUUCUUCACACUCAUCAUUAUUUCAUCAUACACUGCUAACCUCGCUGCUUUCUUGACUGUUGAGCGAAUGGUCUCGCCCAUAGAAAGUGCAGAAGACCUUGCCAAACAAACCGAAAUUGCAUAUGGAACAUUGGACUCAGGGUCAACAAAAGAAUUCUUCAGAAGAUCAAAAAUAGCAGUAUAUGAAAAGAUGUGGACCUACAUGAAAUCGGCAGAGCCAUCAGUGUUCACUAGAACUACAGCUGAGGGAGUAGCCCGUGUUCGCAAAUCCAAGGGCAAGUUUGCCUUCCUCCUGGAGUCCACCAUGAACGAAUACAUUGAACAGCGAAAGCCGUGUGACACCAUGAAAGUGGGAGGAAAUCUGGAUUCGAAAGGCUAUGGAGUAGCCACACCCAAGGGUUCUCCAUUAAGAACUCCUGUAAACCUUGCCGUUUUGAAACUCAGUGAGGCAGGCGUCUUAGACAAGCUGAAAAACAAAUGGUGGUACGAUAAAGGUGAAUGUGGACCCAAGGACUCUGGAAGUAAGGACAAGACGAGUGCCUUGAGUCUCAGCAACGUUGCAGGAGUCUUCUACAUUCUGGUUGGAGGCUUGGGCUUGGCCAUGCUGGUGGCUUUGAUAGAAUUCUGUUACAAGUCCAGGGCAGAGGCGAAGCGAAUGAAGCGCUGGAGCACACGGCGCUGUACAAUAGGUGAAGUGUGCCAAACAAAUAACAGUUCCCUGUCCCGAGGAGCUUACAGUCUAAAGACACAGCCGGUACAAUACAGAACAAUACAAUACAGAACAAACACAGAAUGAACACAGAAUGGUGUAUGGUCAUUAUAGCUGGAACGCUUCAAGGAAUAGUUCCCGAGUGGUUUGCCCAACACUGAGCAUGUUCUCAAGCUAUUGCAGGGAACAAGGGUGUGCAUGUCAAAUAGCUGACCUUUUCUGAAGCCAUAAGAAACAAAGCCAGAUUAUCCAUCACAGGGAGUGUAGGAGAAAACGGCCGUGUAUUAACUCCCGACUGCCCGAAGGCCGUGCAC